CCUACGGGCGGCUGCAGUGGGGAAUAUUGCACAAUGGGCGCAAGCCUGAUGCAGCCAUGCCGCGUGUGUGAAGAAGGCCUUCGGGUUGUAAAGCACUUUCAGCGGGGAGGAAGGCGGUGAGGUUAAUAACCUCAUCGAUUGACGUUACCCGCAGAAGAAGCACCGGCUAACUCCGUGCCAGCAGCCGCGGUAAUACGGAGGGUGCAAGCGUUAAUCGGAAUUACUGGGCGUAAAGCGCACGCAGGCGGUCUGUCAAGUCGGAUGUGAAAUCCCCGGGCUCAACCUGGGAACUGCAUUCGAAACUGGCAGGCUAGAGUCUUGUAGAGGGGGGUAGAAUUCCAGGUGUAGCGGUGAAAUGCGUAGAGAUCUAGAGGAAUACCGGUGGCGAAGGCGGCCCCCUGGACAAAGACUGACGCUCAGAUGCGAAAGCGUGGGGAGCAAACAGGAUUAGAUACCCUUGUAGUC
rnacentral:rRNA from 1 species